CUUGUAUUAACACUAUUUCACAAUGAUUAACAUUAAGUUAACACCAUUUCACAAGAAUGUUUUCUGAAGAUACCUCUUAACCAUUUACUAACACCAUUUCACAAGAAUGUUUUCUGAAGAUACCUCUUAACCAUUUACUAACACCAUUUCACAAGAAUGUUUUCUGAAGAUACCUCUUAACCAUUUACUAACACCAUUUCACAAAAAUGUUUUCUGAACAUACCUCUUAACCAUUUACUAACACCAUUUCACAAGAAAGUAUUUAGAUUGUUAUUAUGGAUACACCUAUUGGAUAAAUGUGUAAACUCCUCUCUUGCUGCUGAAAAAUGUGCCUAGUUUUCAGGGCUUGUGGGUGGGUUCUGAGCAGUCAUGGGCUAGAAAUUUUAGCUUGACCUGACAACACUGAGCACAACAAAAAUGACAGAGAAAUGGGACACCGAUACACGGAAAUAAUCCGGGAAAUAUGAACAUAGGAAACCAUACAUUGAAUUGAAUAAACAGAACUUCUACCUGAAUCUUGCAUAUGUUCAUGUGCACUAUAAACACCAUGCCCACUCAGAGCAGGGUAAGAAAUGGUUGGCUAAAUGAAAAUGUAUCAUAGGCCUAUUAAACAUGAAACAGAAAUGUCUACGUGUUGCAAUAAACAGUAAGGGGAUGGAAUGAUGAAAUGCUAGCAAUAAUUGUAGUAUUAGAUAGAAUAUAGAUUUACCACAUAGGGCAUAUGCAUUUAAAUUUGUGAAAGUAACAGCAAACAUUUCAACAUAAUGAGGGGCAACUUACUGGUUUGGUCAGGGCCAGCGUGAAGGAUAAAGUUUAUCCUGUGUCGGUCAGUGUAGCUAUUAACUGAAGUUUGAGCGUCUUAGCAAUACAAUGUGUUCUAUACAGCUGUCAACAUUCUACAAGGAAAGAUUUACAUAAUCAUUAACCAGGUUACCCCGGAUACCAGACUUAGAUGAGUGAUAACUCAUUUCUAGAAUGUUGUCAUUGAUGAGAAUGAAUCAAAACAUCUAUUGACAUAUAUUCACAUUCAGAAAUGUUUGAAUUUAUUAUUUAGACAUCCAGAGACAAAUCUACCAAUACACAGUAUUUACUUUUUAGGAGUGCUCUGUCAUAGAGCAGUAGUUCCCAACCUUUUUCGGUUACUGUACUGUACGACCAACUGAAUUCUGCUCUGCCCAGGGUACCCCCUCAUAUGCAUUUUACCAGUAGGGCUAUGGCCUCAUGAGUCUUCUUAAGUACCCCCUGUGGAUAGGCCAAGUACCUUCAGGGAUCCUAGUACCUCUGGUUGGGAACCACUGUCAUAGAGCUAAAUGCAUUCAUAGUCUUGAUUUGUAUGAUCCUUCCCAUUUGUAUUUUCAAAGUCAGGUGAAAAAAUCCUGUUCAACAGAUGCACUCAGUGGAGCAAAACUGUUUUUGUGGUUUGUGUGGGAAAAAUGUUGAGGCAAUCCCCAACAGCCUGAAGAAACACCUGGUGGGAAUAACAAGGACCUUCUAGUGGAAGUGAACCACAACUAGGCUACUAACUAAGCACUAUGUAGGCAAGCCUCACUCACUGGACAAUGAGUUGACUCACUCCAUUUUCAUAGAACACAGAAUAACACCUAAGAAUGCUGAGCUGGAAAAUCAUAUAUCAUUAUGUGGAUGGGACAUUCCUGCUGGGAUGGAGGAUUUAUCUGGAAUGCUUAACUAGAUGAUCAGGACAGUCAAGGGUACUAUUUGUCCAAAAGAGGUGAAGUCUUGCAAUGAGCUAUACGACUGUACUUAUGAUAAAAAUUCUCAAGAGCAAAGUUAAAACACUCUGAGCCGUAAAAUCACCAAGGAGGAGCAACAGUGGUUGAGGAAUCAUCUGAAAGGGACUGACGUGUCUAACUGACGUCACAGGUAAUUUGAUUAGUCAUGUACAACAGAUGCAUUCGUGGAACAAAACCGUUUCUGUGGUUUGUAUGGGAAAAACAUUGAGCCCACAAGAUGCACCUCAGUGAGAACAUUCUGGAACUGUGCCAUGGUGGAGGUGCCUGUGUAGCAGUGUGAUGUUGUUCCCCUAGAUUAUGCACCAAGUUGCACACAAGGACCAAUUCAAAUAGGCCAGGUCAAGAGGGGAUGUUAAUCAUUUGAUAAUAAUAAAAAUAAUUCUGUGUGUUUUUUUAUAUUUAAUUACAGCUGCAUAGCUAAUGUUAUUUUUUGGUGUACAAACAGUUUUUCAUAUCAAUAUUGUACAUACAAGUGAUUGUAAAAGUUUUGUAUAUUUUGGUUUGGCCCAUCGAGGGUUAUCUGUAUUUCCGUACCUCCUUAUUGUUCUCUUUUGCCUGACCUUCGGCUUAGCGAGGUAUGUUGUCCUUGGCUCCGCUAUUGUUCAAUAUAAAACCGUGGUAAUGUUACACAAUGUGCUGUUACGCUACCAUACGUUUGUUACAAUGUGGAAAAUAUAAAGAUUUAUGGUAACAAGUUUCACCGAGCUCGCUAACUAGGGUACCUAUUGUAACUUGUGAGUACUUGGGACAGUGUUUGAGUGAGUGUCCAUGUGCUUGCGCAGGUGCCUGAGAGCUGUGACUGCGCCAAGGGCUAAAAUAUUGUGUGUUGUUUCUUCGUGUGCAGGGCAAAUAAAAAUAAUCCAACCAACAGACCUCCAGUUGUGGCAGUGUCCUCAUUAAAAGAAUCCAACCAACAGACCUCCAGUUGUGGCAGUGUCCUCAUUAAAAGAAUCCAACCAGCAGACCUCCAGUUGUGGCAGUGUCCUCAUUAAAAGAAUCCAACCAACAGACCUCCAGUUGUGGCAGUGUCCUCAUUAAAAGAAUCCAACCAGCAGACCUCCAGUUGUGGCAGUGUCCUCAUUAAAAUAAUCCAACCAGCAGACCUCCAGUUGUGGCAGUGUCCUAAUUAAAAGAAUCCAACCAGCAGACCUCCAGUUGUGGCAGUGUCCUCAUUAAAAUAAUCCAACCAGCAGACCUCCAUUGUGGCAGUGUCCUCAUUAAAAUAAUCCAACCAGCAGACUUCCAGUUGUGGCAGUGUCCUCAUUAAAAGUACACAACUCAGAAUGAACCAUGCUACACCUGGAAGUUCAAUGUUUUCAUUGAACUCCUAAUAAGAAGUAAGUAGAGCUGGAUGGAUAGGACACAGAGUUGUAUAGAGUACAUCUAAAGAUGGGAGAGCCAUCAUUUCCAACAGAUAUCCUUGCCGGGGGUGGCUUUGAACAUCAUGCAAUGCUUCUCAUGGAGGGAGCCUGAAGAUGUUCCGUGUGUCACGCCUCAUGUGUUCUCAGUCAACUUACCUGGUAAAAUAAGGGGGAAAAAAAAUACAAAAAUCAAAUGUCUAAAACGGGAAAAAAGGGAGACAAAUCUCAAAAUCUACAAAUUCAAUGUUUUACACAAUAAUGUUUCUCAUUUGAUGAGUUACUGAUCUGUCCUUCCACAUGCUCAAUCUGCUGUAGACUACAACUGGACUCUUGCGCUCGGAUCAUACUGGCACACAAUGUCCAUGUACCAGAUGGCUUGAGGGAUGCUCUCCUGUUGGGCUGGAAAACAAAGACAUUUGGUCAGUGGUCGGUCUUUUUUAAUGCUUUUUCACCAUCUUUAUUUUUACAGAAAAUGCAUUGUUUAUCAUAACACAAACACACCUUGGACAACGUGACAAGUGGUCCCUCAACACCCGACCCUAAAUCAUGAGAACCAUACACAAACAUACUGAACAGCUAUAUCCACAAAUUCAUAAAUAUUUAAUUAGCUAACUAGUUAACGUUAGCUCACAAUUUGUAUUGUUUUCCACAUGGUGACAUGUAGUUAGCCCACCAGAGCAUGGAUAUUUAACAUUAGCUAGCUAGCUACGUUAGCACAUCGUUCAUGUAGUCAGACUUUUCCCCAGACCCUAAGUUUUGUUUUAACAUGCUAGCUAGUCCACCAGGGCAGGGAUAUUUAAUGUUAGCUAGCGCUAAUUGCUCAAGUUUG
rnacentral:lncRNA from 1 species